GAUGAACGCUGGCGGCGUGCCUAAUACAUGCAAGUCGAACGCGCAGCGAGAGGUGCUUGCACCUUUCAAGCGAGUGGCGAACGGGUGAGUAACACGUGGAUAACCUGCCUCAAGGCUGGGGAUAACAUUUGGAAACAGAUGCUAAUACCGAAUAAAACUUAGUAUCGCAUGAUAUCAAGUUAAAAGGCGCUACGG
rnacentral:rRNA from 1 species